rnacentral:rRNA from 1 species
GACAGAGGGUGCAAACGUUGUUCGGAAUUACUGGGCGUAAAGCGCGUGUAGGCGGGCCGGAAAGUCGGGCGUGAAAUCCCUGGGCUCAACCCAGGAACUGCACUCGAAACUUCCGGUCUAGAGUGGUGGAGAGGGAAGUGGAAUUCCUGGUGUAGAGGUGAAAUUCGUAGAUAUCAGGAGGAACACCAGUGGCGAAGGCGGCUUCCUGGACACCCACUGACGCUGAGACGCGAAAGCGUGGGGAGCAAACAGG